rnacentral:rRNA from 1 species
GUAAGGAAUAUUGGUCAAUGGAGGCAACUCUGAACCAGCCAUGCCGCGUGCAGGAAGACGGCCCUCUGGGUUGUAAACUGCUUUUAUCCGGGAAUAAACCUGCCUUCGUGAAGGUAGCUGAAUGUACCGGAAGAAUAAGGAUCGGCUAACUCCGUGCCAGCAGCCGCGGUAUUACGGAGGAUCCAAGCGUUAUCCGGAUUUAUUGGGUUUAAAGGGUGCGUAGGCGGCCUGUUAAGUCAGGGGUGAAAGACGGUGGCUCAACCAUCGCAGUCCCCUUGAUACUGAUGGGCUUGAAUGGACUAGAGGUAGGCGGAAUGUGACAAGUAGCGGUGAAAUGCAUAGAUAUGUCACAGAACACCGAUUGCGAAGGCAGCUUACUAUGGUCCUAUUGACGCUGAGGCACGAAAGCGUGGGGAUCGAACAGGAUUAGAUACCCCAGUAGUCC